UCAAUUAGCUCGUGGCAUGGUCGUUUUUCUAGCGACUCCACAGCCAAUAUUAUGUCCUUCUCCGGUUGGCUCCCUAUAAAUUUUGCCCCUCUCUAUAGUGCCUGGAACUCUCUGAUGCUGCUCGAGUUGGAAUUUUUAGAUGCAUUUGUUGAUAUUUAUAAUGGAGUAAAGCUAUAAACAAUUAAUACAUUUUGAUGCCCAAGAUCUCAAAUCUUGCAAUAAUUUGAAUUGUGUUUUGUAAAUUGUUGAAGAAUAAAUACUGAUGCCAACCUUUCGAAUUCUGCAUCCACGCUAUGUUUAUUGCAGCAGCCAGUAAUGUAUUAAAAAUUGAAAUUAUCUAUAAAAUUAGAUGCAAUUAAUUCUUUCACGCCAA